AGCUCAGACCAGCAGUAGGCUGCAAAGGACAAUUCCCAUAGAACAAUAGGAAGUAAAAUCAGGAGCCAGCCCUGCUCCAGACCCAUCACAGGCAUCUUCUGCCAUGGUCCUCAUAGGUGAGCAUCUUCACAGACUGUAGAAACGGGCUUUCAGCACCUGUAUCACUACGAAAUCUACUGCUUCAUACGCACUACACAUGAGCAUCACUCUCUGAGCGAAGCUGUGCCUGCGUGCAGACAGAUUUGAGAGGGAGCUGCGUAGACCGGAUAAACUGUCAGAACUUCUCCUGACAAGGUCUUACGUAGCUAUGGCUGACUUUGGACUCCUCAUCUUCCUGACUUCACUUCCCAAGCACGGGGAUUAUGGGAUUUUGUGUGUUACUUCCAAUUACGUGUGUGCUGUGUGCACCUGGUAAUGAGGCAUCAGAUCCCCUGGAGCUGGAGUUACAGAUAGUUGUGAACCAUCUGAUGUGAGUGCUAAAAACUCAACGAGGACCCUCUAGAAGAGCAAGUCAUCUCUCCAGCCCCUUUGCUCUGGACUUUUCUCUUGGAACCAACGGCCCCGCCCCCAUCCCUUUCGCUGUGUAUAGACUUUAGCAUUA